rnacentral:rRNA from 1 species
ACGGAAGGCAGCAGUGGGGGAUAUUGCACAAUGGGCGAAAGCCUGAUGCAGCAAUGCCGCGUGAGGGAAGAAGGUUUUCGGAUUGUAAACCUCUGUCCCCUGUGACGAAACAAAUGACGGUAGCAGGGGAGGAAGCCACGGCUAACUACGUGCCAGCAGCCGCGGUAAUACGUAGGUGGCAAGCGUUGUCCGGAUUUACUGGGUGUAAAGGGAGCGCAGGCGGGAGAGCAAGUCAGCGGUGAAAUACAUGGGCUUAACCCAUGAACUGCCGUUGAAACUGUUUUUCUUGAGUGAAGUAGAGGUAGGCGGAAUUCCGAGUGUAGCGGUGAAAUGCGUAGAUAUUCGGAGGAACACCAGUGGCGAAGGCGGCCUACUGGGCUUUUACUGACGCUGAGGCUCGAAAGUGUGGGGAGCAAACAGGAUUAGAUACCCUGGUA